AAAUGAUUUAUCUGCCUCUAAACUGUUAGUGACAGCCUGAUCAUUCCUCCAACUCACCUUGGGAGGGCUGGGAAGGACUUAAGGUUGAGAAAAGUCGAGGUCCUCAGUGAUUUGUACCCGUUCCUGCAAUGAUGCCUAUUAGCGCUCUGAGAGCCGGCAUCCAAUGGAAUUUUGCCCUGAGGCUCUGCACUGAAUCUCCGCUUAAGCUGUCUACUUAGAAAUGAAUGGCUGAGUUGAUGCACUCAAGGUGCCAAGCCCAGAGCCUGGCACCAAGGAAGGACCCAGUCUGUUUUCAUUCCCUUCCCUGCCAUCACAAGGGAAGGCAAGGGCUCUCCCAUUUGGCCCCUGAAUGUUCCUUCUGUAGCUCUUUAAAUCCUUUCCCUGCCAUGUCCAUAUGCGCUUAGCUAAGUAUUUUGAGAUCGCAGUGUAUUUAGGGGAAAGUCCUUUUGACUACAGCUAAAAUUAGGCCUCUCUUUUGCUUCUCUGUUUACCAACCCCCCUUCCUAUUUUAACUAAUGAGAGGCAUUGACACUGAGACACACUUGAGAAAAGUUGGGAGAACAGCUGGGAGUUGUUCUAGAUAUCAGCAGCUGCUACUGCUCAGCUUCAGGCACCCGGUGAGGAUGCUCCUGAUGGGGAGGCAGGAAAGGGGCCUCAGAGAAGAGAGAAGGAGUGCCAGAGCCUGCCCCAGGCCUACUGAGCAGGGCGGGAGUCCUGCUACAGUGUCCUCCACCUUCUGCUGAAAGAAGGGGUGGGGUGGGGCGGUUUGCAGGGGGAGGAGUGGAGGCAAAGGAAAAAGAGAGGAAGACAGAGCUGACAGGAAGGCAUUAAGAAGGUCAGCAGGUGGCUAGUUAUGUAAUUAACACCACUCCUCCCACCUAGACUACUGGGGUAGUCUCCCAACUGGUCUCACACUCAGGGCUGCUCUCCCACUGGAACCAGAGAGGGUGGGGGAAAGAGCAAAUCUCCCUUCCUAAAACUCUGCAGUGGGUUGCCUCUAUGGACUUAAGGAAACAUUUCUAAACCCAGCCAAUGGUCCUUGAGUGCCUGCAAGUGCCCUCACCCUCCUUCCCUACAGUUGCUACAGCCCAGCCUGCUGCAUUUGCUUCAGCUCCUCUCACCAGACCUUCCUUUCCUGCAGCCAGAUUACCUGAAUUGCAUCCAGGGGCCUCUACCAUCGAGCUGUAUGACCUUGACUUUGGUUGGGCAAAUUACUGCACUACUUUGUGCCUCAUUUUCCUUAUCUGAAAAAUGAGGACAGUAAUAGUAAUUGCUUCAGAGAGUUUCUGUAAGGGCUAAAUGAAUAAAGAGUUAAUAGAUAUUUAGGAUAAUGGCUGGGAUAUAAUUGCUCGAUACUGCUUUAUCUACUGUUGUCCACCACAUCACUGCUAUCAUGUCGUUAUUUCUUUUAUUCCCUUGGCUGUAAUGCUGCUCUUCUCCCAACACACAAACUUGUUCUUGACCUAGGUCCUCCACGUCUUCAGCUGUGAGCUUAAAUGUCACUUCCUAAGAGAAGUAUUCCCCAAUCCCCCAAUCUUAGCUAGUAUUCCUCCCAAAAUAUCCUCCAGCCCCUUGUACUUCUGCUUCAUAGUACUUUGUGUAACACAUUGGUAUAGAUUUUUUGAGAAUAUUUGUUUACUGUCUGUAUCCCCUGUAAGACUCUAAGUUUCUCAAGGGCAAGGACUAUGCUGAUUUUGUUCACCAGGGACUGCCAGAGCCUAAAACAGUGAUUAGCAUAUAGUAGGUGUUCAAUAAGUGUAUAUAAUGGGAGGAAGGGAGGGAGGAAGCCAGGAGAAAGGAGGAAAGGAAAGAAGGAGAGAGGGAGGGAGGAGGAAAAGAAAAGGAAGAUUAUUGGGAAAAAAGAAAAAAUACCUCCCAAACAGUCUUCUGGGGAUCUAGUUCUCUCCCCUGCCUUAGGCUGCCAACGGCUGAGAGGACUUCUUGCCCCUCGUGCCCUCUGUCCUCACUCCUCUUUCCUGUGUCCCACCCCUUUGGAAAGGCUCUAAGCAUCUCCAAUCAUGUUGAUAUAACAAAGAUACUUUCCAGUAUAUUGACUACUCCACUAAUCCCUUCUUGUUAAACACAGUGAAGAUGCAAACAUUUGUCUUCUGGAGAUACUGUCUUAAACUCUUGUAGGAUAAAAACUCUAGAUAGUGAGCCAUUAGACAUAAGCAAGGCUUUGGUGUCACCUGUUCAUGUGGGGGCCUUCCUUUUGAAGACCCUUCCUCCAACACCGCAGAACUUUUCAAAGAUAAUCAUGGCAGAACCUAGGGGACAGGAGACCUUCUUUCUGACCCCUUGUUUGCCUGUUCUCUGCUUGACUCCAUGUUAAAGUGUAAGCCAUUCUGUUGAUUUGUACCUGUGGCCAGCUGUGUCUGUCACCAGGGCACCUACGCCCAUGGUGUGCCACCUCAUGGUAUGCCUCCCUCCUGGGCGUCCAACAUGGGGACUGACCUUGCUGUGACCCACCUCUCAGAGGAGACCUGGGAGCUCUUCUCUGAUGGGCAGACCACUCAGGUUGCCUGGAAUGUCAUUUUAUUUUUAGGAGAAAAAUACAAAAAUAUACUUAAAGCAUAAAAAAGGGAGACAUGAUGCAGCAUGAUAUCUAGAAUGUUUCACAAAAGAAUACAGUCUUGUUUAACAAAUGGGCUUUAAGUGACUUGCUGUGGGGUUGCCAACUUCAUAGUGCUGUAGCAAAAUAUGUCUUAGCUUUAAUGAAUUUACAAACCAAUGUGCUUCCAUUUCAAAGUAAAAACAACAUCUCAGGUCAAAGAGAUGUCUGCAGAGUUACAUCGAUCUAGCAGCUAAGAAACAUUUAUCUGAGAAACAUGCCUGAAACAAAAUAGAUUUUUCUAAGGAGCAUACUAGGGUUUUUUUUUAUAUCUAGAUCCUAAUCAAGGAUUGCAUAGUCUUAAAAAUAAUCCAAAUCUGUGCCUCAGUAUAAAUAGUUUCUGGCCAAAGACAAAUCCAGUAGCUAUUAGUUCUCAGAUAUCAGUCUCAAAAGGGGUGUCUUCUCUUCCUGAGGAUGGUGGUUCCAUAAGGAGCAAUGUCGGGGUGCCCUAAAGCUCAGAGCUACACUAAGACCCAUGCCCAUCCCACCUGGCAGAGAACUUUCUGGGCUGCCAUAGAGGGAGAAGAGCCCAGCCCAUCAUCAUCACAGCUUCCUCUCUAUAGAGCUAGGUCCUUCUUCCCUUAAGGAAAGCUUCCUGGAGGAGGUGGCAUUUUAGGUUGACCAUUUCUUUACCCAUCUUUUCUUUCAACAGAUGUUUACUGGGUGAGCACUGUCAAUAAGCUGAGCCUUGUGUUUCACCAUGACCUGUAGAUAGAGCCCCUGCCCACAAGGAAUUGUUGGUCCAAUGACAAAGACAGAUAAUAAAGAAAUAAUUGCACAUAUGGUCAAUAUACCUGUUAUGAGAGCUUAAAGGAGAGGCACAGGGUGUGAUCAGAGUGGGUGGAAUUCAAGAUCUCUAAGUGUGACUAGUGAUUCCUACCUUCUAGGUGGUUAGCUUACAAGGGUACCCUGGAGGGCAAGAUUGUCAGUAAAUGUGAUCAUAAAAGCAGAUGGACCUUUUAACCAGUCUUAUUAUUGUAUUUUAAUUCAGACACCCUCCCCACCCCCAGGGUGAAUGGCUCACAUACCCCUGCCCUUUGAUAUACAGCAAAGUUAAACAAAUGGAUCCUUUUUUUAAAAAAAAUAUUAUCUUGUGUCUUUUUAUUUAUUUACUUAUUUUUUGGCCACAUCCAUGGCAUGUGGAAGUUCCUGGGCCAGGGACUGAACCUGCAACUCAGCAGUCACCCAAGCUGCUACAAUAACAAUGCCAGAUCCUUAACCCUCUGUAACACCGGAGAACUCCCAGCAAAUGGAUUCUGUUGCCUGGGUUUGAAUCCUAGUUCUGCCAUUUACUAGUUGGGUGAUCUUGGCAAGUUACUUAAGCUCUGUUCACCUCACUUUUCUCCCCUGUAAAAGAGAGAUGAUACCCAUCUCGGGGGGUUGCUGUGAAUAUUGAUGAGGUAAGGAAUGGUCACUCAAUGUGGUGCCAAAUGCAUCUGAUACCAAAAAACGUUAGCCAUGGUUAUUACUAAUGAGUGCUGAAGGAACUGUGACAAUUCUUACUUCCAUUCCAUUUCUACCCCAAGGGUGAGAGUAAGAUCGGAUUCCUGAGCAGGAUUCUGAUAGGGAUGUGGGAGAGACUGGGAAGUAGAGGAUAUUUCCUUCUAGUUUCUGAUGCAAACAGGCCUCCCCACCUCCAUUCCAGCCUUGAAAAGCUGCCGAGCUCCCCUUGAAUUCCCUCUGCAGGUCCUGCACACACUUACUCCUAGGUGGAGGCCACCACCCUGCACGCCCCCAGGUAAAGGCUUUGGGGUCCCAGGCAGUCAUAGUUUCUUGCCCCAAGAUGUCUGUGCAUAAGGGCGCUAGCAUUUUCCAUUGUUUCAUAUGUUCUGUCUUGACACAUAUUUUUCCCUUUCCUCUUCUCUUCACCACCCCAAGGAAACCAGGAGAUGCCCUCUUUGGGAAGGUCUUAGCCACAGGCACUGUGCUAAGUGUCCAGAGGCUGCACCUAAACUCCUGAGUUGUCCCAAAGUUUCUGCUGCUUUAAAAAAAAAAAAAAAA
rnacentral:lncRNA from 1 species